UACGUAGGGUGCAAGCGUUGUCCGGAAUUAUUGGGCGUAAAGAGCUCGUAGGCGGUUUGUUGCGUCGGCUGUGAAAACCCGGGGCUCAACCCCGGGCCUGCAGCCGAUACGGGCGGGCUGGAGUUCGGUAGGGGAGACUGGAAUUCCUGGUGUAGCGGUGAAAUGCGCAGAUAUCAGGAGGAACACCGGUGGCGAAGGCGGGUCUCUGGGCCGAUACUGACGCUGAGGAGCGAAAGCGUGGGGAGCGAACAGG
rnacentral:rRNA from 1 species